rnacentral:rRNA from 1 species
UCCGCAGGCGGGCAAUUAAGUCAGGGGUGAAAUGCUGCAGCUCAACUGUAGCACUGCCCUUGAUACUGGUUGUCUUGAGUUAUAGUGGAGUGGCUGGAAUAUGUAGUGUAGCGGUGAAAUGCAUAGAUAUUACAUAGAACACCAAUCGCGAAGGCAGGUCACUAACUAUUAACUGGCGCUGAUGGACGAAAGCGUGGGGAGCGAACG